GUCUUCCUACUAGAUUGUAAGCUUGUCGGGGCCACAUCUAUCCUGUUUACUACUGAAUCCCAGCUGGCAGAAAGUAGACAUUUCACAAUAUUUUUGGAGCAAAUGCAUCAAUCAGACCAUCAUGUGUAAGGGAGGUCACAGGAUGAAGGAACAGUGUAGUGACCUGGAACACUAUGCCACGCUGCUGCAACUGUGUCGGUCCAUGGCUGUGUGUGCGUGCUCUGCACCCCUAGAUGAACUCACCAAACAGCAUCUACGGAAAAGCCCAUGGAACUGUUGCUGCCAAGCAAAGUUCUGUUUUUCAGUGGACUCCAUAUCUGUGUCAUCCAAGAUGCUUACUGUUGACAUAAACCUGCUGCAUACGUAAGACUCUACUCAAUUUAUUUAAUUCUACAAAAGCUUACUGAAUAUUUUCUAUUCUAAUUGUGCUAGC
rnacentral:lncRNA from 1 species